UAUGUAAUCCAACAUUUCGUUAUUUCCUUUUUUCUUUUCUUUCAUGUUUCCUUUUCAAAUUUUAAAGGGAAUGUUCACACUGUACGUUUUGUGAAAUUUUAUAUUCAAUAAUAUUAAGACUACUAAUUAUCGAAUAAAUCGUUCAUUGUGUUGGUACUCAAGUUUGUUUCUUUCGUAGAGCUACAUCUUUGAAAUUACUUACAAUAACGAUUUCUAUCUAUACAGUUUCUGAAAUUCUGCUAACAAUUGAAUCCGAUGACAGAGAAAUUAAAAACGAAAAUUUAAAUACUGACAAAGAAUACUUUCGAAUAUGGCGUCAAAACUUCUAAGACAUCUGUGGUGAAUACAGCAGAGAAAAUGUUGAAGGGAAAACAUUAUAUCAUAAUGCAGAAUUAUUAUCGGGGCUGUGGUGUUUCUUUGUACAGAAAUUAGGAUAAUCAUAACUAGAAAAUCGCCAUCCAGUAGAGUGGUAAAUAAUUCUCAGACCGUGACAUUACAAAUGCUUUGUCACAGACGAAUAAAAAAAUUUAUAUCCAGUGCAGGAUUGUGUACGGUUUUGCUAUCGGAGCAAGUAAUAGCCUAUUGAAUAUUACUAACCAAAUGCAUUCGAAAAUAGAAGUCAUUUUCUGAACACUUUCCGCGCCAAAUGUUCUGCAGGAUAAAACUUGCUAUGUCUAUCAAUUUAAAUCGGAACGAAAACCAUUGAAGGCAAAUCGCUGAAAGCCUCAUUAAUAUCAGUAAUGCAUAGAGGGGAAAGUGAUGUUCUGUAAUAUAUAAUCAUUCUAUAGUUUGUCUUGGAAACCUAAACGAAAGUCUUAGAUUUUCCAUUUCUGUUUCGAGAAGUUACAAUUUAGCCAUAAACACUACCGGAUUCAGCAUCCUAUGUUAUCCUACCACAAAAUAAAACAAGAUUUUGACAGUGAAA